CUCUCUUAGCUUAAUGGUAAAGCCUAAUACUUCUAAUAUUAUGAGUCUAUGUUCAAAUCAUAGAGAGAGUA